AGGUUGGCUCAGAAGCAGCCAUCCUUUAAAGAGUGCGUAACAGCUCACUAGUCGAGUGACCCUGCGCCGAAAAUGUACCGGGGCUAAGCCUGAUACCGAAACUGCGGAUUGUAGGAAACUAUAGUGGUAGGGGAGCGUUGUAUACGAGCAGAAGCCGUACCGUGAGGAGCGGUGGAUUGUAUAGAAGUGAGAAUGCCGGUGUGAGUAGCGAGAUGUAGGUGAGAAUCCUACACACCGAAAGCCCAAGGAUUCCAGGGGAAGGUUCGUCCGCCCUGGGUAAGUCGGGACCUAACGCGAGGCCGAAAGGCGUAGUGGAUGGAAAGCAGGCGAAAGAUUCCUGCACCCGUAUAUGGAGCGAAGGAGUGACGGAGACGGAUAGUGUGACCCUCUUAAUGGAUUGAGGGCGAAGCGAAGCGGCUGGUUACCAGGCAAAUCCGGUAACCAUAAGGCUAGAGCGUGACAGGUAAGCGAAAUCUUAGGAAAGUAGCGAAGCACAUGAUGACGGCUUCCAGGAAAAGCUUCUGGCAAUGCAUAUGCGGCCCGUACCAAAACCGACACAGGUGGGCAGGGAGAGAAUCCCGAGGUGAGCGAGAGAACUGUUGCCAAGGAACUCGGCAAAAUGACUCCGUAAGUUAGCGAGAAGGAGUGCUUAAGCAAUUAAGCCGCAGUGAAGAGGCCCAAGCGACUGUUUAACUAAAACACAGCUCUCUGCGAAGUCGCAAGACGAAGUAUAGGGGGUGACACCUGCCCGGUGCUGGAAGGUUAAGAGGAUCUGUUAAGAGCGAUCUGAAGCAGUGAUCCGAAGCCCCAGUGAACGGCGGCCGUAACUAUAACGGUCCUAAGGUAGCGAAAUUCCUUGUCAGGUAAGUUCUGACCCGCACGAAAGGUGUAACGAUUUGGGCGCUGUCUCGGCAGCAGACUCGGUGAAAUCUUAGUACCUGUGAAAAUGCAGGUUACCCGCAACUAGACGGAAAGACCCCAUGGAGCUUUACUGCAGCCUGAUAUUGAAUUCUGGUCAUACAUGUACAGGAUAGGUGGGAGACAAAGAGACGUGCACGCCAGUGUACGAGGAGUCGACGUUGGGAUACCACUCUUGUGUGACCGGGGUUCUAACCUGGUAUCGAGAACAGGUACGGGGAGAGUGUCAGGUGGGCAGUUUGACUGGGGCGGUCGCCUCCCAAAGAGUAACGGAGGCGCCCAAAGGUACGCUCAGAUUGGAUGGAAACCAAUCGUCGAGUGCAAUUGCAGAAGCGUGCUUGACUGUGAGACAGACAAGUCGAACAGGGACGAAAGUCGGGAAUAGUGAUCCGGCGGUGCCGAAUGGAAGGGCCGUCGCUCAACGGAUAAAAGCUACCCUGGGGAUAACAGGCUGAUCUCCCCCAAGAGUUCACAUCGACGGGGAGGUUUGGCACCUCGAUGUCGGCUCAUCGCAUCCUGGGGCUGAAGUAGGUCCCAAGGGUUGGGCUGUUCGCCCAUUAAAGCGGUACGCGAGCUGGGUUCAGAACGUCGUGAGACAGUUCGGUCCCUAUCUGUUGUGGGCGAAGGAGAUCUGCGGAGAGCUGUCCUCAGUACGAGAGGACCGGGAUGGACCUACCGCUGGUGCACCGGUUGUUCCGCCAGGGGCAUAGCCGGGUAGCUAAGUAGGGAAAGGAUAAGCGCUGAAAGCAUCUAAGCACGAAGCCUACUCCAAGAUGAGAUCUCCCAUUCGCAAGAAGUAAGACCCCUUAAAGACGAUAAGGUAGAUAGGCCAGGGAUGGAAGUGCAGUGAUGUACGGAGUUGACUGGUACUAAUCGGUCGAGGACUUAAUC
rnacentral:rRNA from 1 species